CCUACGGGAGGCAGCAGUAGGGAAUCUUUCACAAUGGGCGAAAGCCUGAUGGAGCAACGCCGCGUGCAGGAUGAAGGCCUUCGGUUUGGAAACUGCUUUUAUACACGAGAAAUAUGAUGGUAACUUAUGAAUAAGGAGCGGCUAACUACGUGCCAGCAGCCGCGGUCAUACGUAGGAUACGGGCAUUAUCCGGAGUGACUGGGUGUAAAGAGUUGCGUAGGUGGCAUAAUAAGUAGCUAGUGAAAUCUGGUGGCUCAACCAUUCAGACUAUUGGCGAAACUGGUAAGCUCGAGAUCGUGAGGGGUAACUGGAAUGUCUAGUGUAGGAGUGAAAUCCGUAGAUAUUAGAAGGAACACCGAUAGCGUAGGCAGGUUACUGGGACGGUUCUGACACUAAGGCACGAAAGCGUAGGGAGCAAACGGGAUUAGAUACCCCUGUAGUC
rnacentral:rRNA from 1 species